CCUACGGGUGGCAGCAGUGGGGGAUAUUGCACAAUGGGGGGAACUCUGAUGCAGCGACGCCGCGUGGGUGAAGAAGCGCCUCGGCGCGUACAGCCCUGUCAGCAGGGAAGAAAAUGACGUUACCUGAAGAAUAAGCCCCGGCUAACUACGUGCCAGCAGCCGCGGUAAUACGCAGGGGGCAGGCGUUAUCCGGAUUUACUGGGUGUAACGGGGGCGCAGACGGCGCUGCAAGCCAGGAGUGACAGCCCGGGGCCCAACCCCGGGACUGCUCUGGGAACCGCGGGGCUGGAGUGCAGGAGGGGCAGGCGGAAUUCCUGGUGUAGCGGUGAAAUGCGUAGAUAUCAGGAGGAACACCGGUGGCGAAGGCGGCCUGCUGGACUGCAACUGACGUUGAGGCCCGAAAGCGUGGGUAGCAAACAGGAUUAGAUACCCGUGUAGUC
rnacentral:rRNA from 1 species